rfam:Picea glauca, whole genome shotgun sequence.
GCAACGGUGUCUUUAGACACCAACACUAUUGUCAGGAAAUCUCUAG